rnacentral:rRNA from 1 species
CCCGGUGAUUUAAGAGCGAAGUGGAACUACCCGGCUACAUUCCGAACCCGGUCGUAAAACACUUCAGCGCCGAUGAUACCCCGCUUUGCGGGGCAAAGUAGGUCAUUGCCGGGU